rnacentral:tRNA from 2 species
GGCGUGGUAGCCAAGUAGCUAAGGCAGCAGUCUGCAAAACUGCUAUACGCGAGUGCAAUUCUCGCCCACGCCUCAA